AGCGAACGCUGGCGGCGUGCCUAACACAUGCAAGUCGAACGUGAAAGGGAGCAAUCCCAAGUAAAGUGGCGUACGGGUGAGUAACACGUAGGUAAUCUACCCCAGAAUCUGGAAUAACCGGCCGAAAGGCUGGCUAAUACUGGAUAGAGCGACGGAAUCCGUAAUUGGGUUUUUCGGGAAAGGGAGCCUGUAAAAAGGCCUUCGUUCUGGGAUGAGCCUGCGUCCCAUCAGCUAGUUGGUGAGGUAAAAGCUUACCAAGGCAAUGACGGGUAGCUGGUCUGAGAGGACGAUCAGCCACACUGGAACUGAAACACGGUCCAGACGCCUACGGGAGGCAGCAGUGGGGAAUCUUGCGCAAUGGACGAAAGUCUGACGCAGCAACGCCGCGUGAGUGAAGAAGGCCUUCGGGUUGUAAAGCUCUGUCGAGUGGGACGAAAAUGCUUGGAGUUCAAAGCUCCAGGAACUGACGGUACCACUAAAGGAAGCACCGGCUAACUCCGUG
rnacentral:rRNA from 1 species